rnacentral:lncRNA from 1 species
GCUUGCCCAAGAAACUGGAAUCUCCUUCUUAAAGGAUUUUCAAAAUGUGGCCUGCUUCACAUGAUGUGUUGAACAGGAAAGUGAAAAAGAUUGAAAUAGCUUCAGUGGGACAUUAAGCACCUCAAAGAAGAUAAGCACCAAAAUGCAAAAGACCACUGAGGUGAUGUAAGGCAUUUGUGGAAGAGCCUGGUCAUUACCCACAGUGCUGAGCACAGCCAUCUCUUCUGAGGGCACCAGCAGAGACAUCCUUGCUGUGUCUGGCACCUGGGACA